AUUGAACGCUGGCGGCAUGCCUUACACAUGCAAGUCGAACGGCAGCGGGGGAGAAGCUUGCUUUUCCUGCCGGCGAGUGGCGAACGGGUGAGUAAUACAUCGGAACGUGCCCUGUAGUGGGGGAUAACUAGUCGAAAGAUUAGCUAAUACCGCAUACGACCUGAGGGUGAAAGUGGGGGACCGCAAGGCCUCAUGCUAUAGGAGCGGCCGAUGUCUGAUUAGCUAGUUGGUGGGGUAAAGGCCUACCAAGGCGACGAUCAGUAGUUGGUCUGAGAGGACGAUCAGCCACACUGGGACUGAGACACGGCCCAGACUCCUACGGGAGGCAACAGUGGGGAAUUUUGGACAAUGGGCGAAAGCCUGAUCCAGCAAUGCCGCGUGUGUGAAGAAGGCCUUCGGGUUGUAAAGCACUUUUGUCCGGAAAGAAAUGGCUCUGGUUAAUACCUGGGGUCGAUGACGGUACCGGAAGAAUAAGGACCGGCUAACUACGUGCCAGCCGCCGCCGUAA
rnacentral:rRNA from 1 species